rnacentral:rRNA from 1 species
GAUGAACGCUGGCGGCGUGCCUAAUACAUGCAAGUCGAGCGAACAGACGAGGAGCUUGCUCCUCUGACGUUAGCGGCGGACGGGUGAGUAACACGUGGAUAACCUACCUAUAAGACUGGGAUAACUUCGGGAAACCGGAGCUAAUACCGGAUAAUAUAUUGAACCGCAUGGUUCAAUAGUGAAAGACGGUUUUGCUGUCACUUAUAGAUGGAUCCGCGCCGCAUUAGCUAGUUGGUAAGGUAACGGCUUACCAAGGCAACGAUGCGUAGCCGACCUGAGAGGGUGAUCGGCCACACGGGAACUGAGACACGGUCCAGACUCCUAAGGGAGGCAGCAGUAGGGAAUCUUCCGCAAUGGGCGAAAGCUUGACGGAGCAACGCCGCGUGAGUGAUGAAGGUCUUCGGAUCGUAAAAAUCUGUUAUUAGGGAAGAACAAAUGUGUAAGUAACUAUGCACGUCUUGACGGUACCUAAUCAGAAAGCCACGGCUAACUACGUG